GUGGUUUAAUUCGAAGCAACGCGAAGAACCUUACCAGGUCUUGACAUCCCCUGACAACCGAGAGAUCGGGCGUUCCCCUUCGGGGGACAGGGUGACAGGUGGUGCAUGGUUGUCGUCAGCUCGUGUCGUGAGAUGUUGGGUUAAGUCCCGCAACGAGCGCAACCCUCGACCUUAGUUGCCAGCAUUCAGUUGGGCACUCUAAGGUGACUGCCGGCUAAAAGUCGGAGGAAGGUGGGGAUGACGUCAAGUCCUCAUGGCCUUUAUGACCAGGGCUACACACGUACUACAAUGGCCGGUACAAAGGGCAGCGACACAGCGAUGUGAAGCCAAUCCCGAAAAGCCGGUCUCAGUCCGGAUUGGAGUCUGCAACUCGACUCCAUGAAGUUGGAAUCGCUAGUAAUCGCGGAUCAGCACGCCGCGGUGAAUACGUUCCCGGGCCUU
rnacentral:rRNA from 1 species